rnacentral:rRNA from 1 species
AACGUAGGUGGCAAGCGUUAUCCGGAUUUACUGGGCGUAAAGCAUGUGCAGACGGGUUGGUAAGUGGUGUAUGAAAGCGUCCGGCUUAACCGGGCAAGCGUAGGCCAGACUGCCAGUCUUGAGAGUGGGAGAGGGAUGUGGAAUUCCGGGUGUAGUGGUGAAAUGCGUAGAGAUCCGGAGGAACUCCAAAGGCGCAAGCAGCUUCCUGGCCGAGGACUGACACUGAGGGACGAAAGCGUGGGGAGCAAACAGG